AACGAACGCUGGCGGCAGGCCUAAUACAUGCAAGUCGAGCGCCCAGCAAUGGGAGCGGCGCACGGGUGCGUAACGCGUGGGAACGUACCCUUGGGUGCGGAACAACGUCGGGAACUGACGCUAAUACCGCAUAAUAUCUCCGGAUCAAAGAUUUAUCGCCCAAGGAUCGGCCCGCGUUAGAUUAGCUAGUUGGUAGGGUAAAGGCCUACCAAGGCUACGAUCUAUAGCUGGUCUGAGAGGAUGAUCAGCCACACUGGGACUGAGACACGGCCCAGACUCCUACGGGAGGCAGCAGUAAGGAAUAUUGGACAAUGGAGGCAACUCUGAUCCAGCCAUGCCGCGUGAGUGAUGAAGGCCCUUCGGGUUGUAAAGGCUCUUUCAGGUGCGACGAUGAUGACGGUAACACCAGAAG
rnacentral:rRNA from 1 species